rnacentral:rRNA from 1 species
UACGUAGGGCGCAAGCGUUAUCCGGAAUUAUUGGGCGUAAAGAGCUCGUAGGCGGUUUGUCGCGUCUGCUGUGAAAACUCGAGGCUCAACCUCGGGCUUGCAGUGGGUACGGGCAGACUAGAGUGCGGUAGGGGAGACUGGAAUUCCUGGUGUAGCGGUGGAAUGCGCAGAUAUCAGGAGGAACACCGAUGGCGAAGGCAGGUCUCUGGGCCGCAACUGACGCUGAGGAGCGAAAGCAUGGGGAGCGAACAGG